UAGUCCACGCCCUAAACGAUGCACACUAGUUGUUGCAAUGCUAGACAUUGCAGUAAUGCAGUUAACACAGUAAGUGUGCCGCCUGGGGAGUACGGUCGCAAGAUUAAAACUCAAAGGAAUAGACGGGGACCCGCACAAGCGGUGGAGCAUGUGGUUUAAUUCGACGAUACGCGAAGAACCUUACCUGGCCUUGACAUAGUUAGAAUAUAGCAGAGAUGUAAUAGUGCUAGUUUACUAGAGCUAACAUACAGGUGCUGCACGGCUGUCGUCAGCUCGUGUCGUGAGAUGUUGGGUUAAGUCCCGCAACGAGCGCAACCCUUGUCUUUAGUUGCCAUCAUUAAGUUGGCACUUUAAAGAGACUGCCGGUGACAAACCGGAGGAAGGUAAGGAUGACGUCAAGUCAGCAUGCCCCUUAUGCUCUGGGCUACACACGUGCUACAAUAGCCGUGACAAAGAGUUGCUACUUUGUGAAAACAAGCUAAUCUCAUAAACGC
rnacentral:rRNA from 1 species